rnacentral:lncRNA from 1 species
CUUGCUCGCUGCUGCUGCCACGUAAGAAGUGUGUUGCUUCCCCUUCGUCUUCCACCAUGAAUAACAGAAUGGCAAUUUUCGUGUGGUGUUAAUUUCCGUGGAAGAAGAAAAGGCUCGACUCUCUGUCCUAUUUUUCAUGAAUACUGGAAGUAGGGAAUAAACCUGGAGUCUCACGGGUGAAAAGAGACAUUUCCAUAUCACCAGACCACAAACGUGGGUGUUGAUUCUAAGGAUACCCCCAAUAAACAUCUUUCGUGCUAAAGCCCAUUCCAGAAUUUACUUCCCAGCUAUCUUUGAUGUUCAUAUUGUCAGAGGUGGUGGCCGCUGAAACAGGCAAAGACAUGGAGCAUAUCUUGGGUCCAGGUAAAGGAGGUGGGUGCACACAAGUGAAAAGAUGUUGCUGAAGUCACGUGGCUUCAAGCAGUAGAGCUGACUGUCCUCUAGUCCAGUUGUCCCUACAGGAUAAAAGCUUCUCUCCAUUACAGAGACCUUGGGAGUCCAGAGGAAGGUCUUUUUACCAUCAGCAUUCUCUACUGUGUUCAAUGACUGUCAGCCAAAGAUGGCCAGGUUCUCUACUGUGAUGGUGAAUUUUAUGUGUCAAUUUGACUGGACCAUGGGAUGCCCAGCUUUCCUUCAGAAAGAAAUGCAUUCAAAGAACCUACAUUCACAACAUAAAGAAAUAAAGCCUGCACCUACAGAUCUACACACAUGCCCAUGCACAUGCAGGAAGUGUUCAUCUAAGACUGGACCUUUUAGAAGAAAGCUGGCAUACAUUCGUGAAGGCAUGGGCUUCCAGGCAUGUCAUCUUCACUCACGAAGCACACACAAGACCGCCAAGCAUUAAGAUUCUCCUGUGGAGCCAGGCUACAAUCCUUUAAAUGAAGACAGACAGCUAGGUGGCUGCAGCCCAGCGCUACACCUCACCCCUCCCUCAGUGUCAUGCAGAAAAAAUGUAUUCAGAACUCAGAAGUGAAGUUGUGCAAAUCCAUCAUUGACACUAGCUUCAAGGUUACCUCGGGGGAGCAGAAUGUACCCCUGCCAGAGAGCUGGAUAGAUGAUGAUGGGGACAGAAAUUCUGGGGGAGUUGUAAAUGGCAGCCACUGCCUCUAUAGGAAACCCAAAGGGAACACAGCAGAAGAGGAGGUGGUGGAGGAGCCACUGCCCUCUCGAAGGGUUCAAUGUCAUUCUGCAGACACAACCAAAUAACUUUUUCUUCCCUGCUGCUCCUCCAUUUGAAAUGACAGCCCCGAGCUCGCUUUUUCCUUGAUUGUGUAACUCUGAUUACAGACAAGGCCAAGGCAAUCCCAGGGCAUUACUACAAAGCUAAGGGGUCCCCAAAGAACUAAAGAGUCAGCUCCACAAAAAUCCCGAUUCCUAGCAUGAAACUGAAAUAUGAAACCAAACGGGCAUAGAAAAGGUAUGUGCAUUCGAAUCACAUAGCAGUGACUGGAGUCCUGAGCUGUGUCUGAAGACUGUGAGAUCACGUUUGGAGCUGCUGAUUGGUUUUCAGUGAUGGCCCUGUUGCACAGUGCCGUGAGACUUAGCUCCAUGGCCAAAGACGAUGGUAUCCCCUAGGAGCCCUGUGAGGUUGCUGCUGUUCUCUUAAGACACCAGGUAGCCAUCUGAUCCUCCCUGAGCAAACUAACUGGGCAGACAGGUUUAUUAAACCUCUGUUGGUCCGACUUACAUGAAACAAGAGAGUUAUUUUGUUGUUGUUGUUUUGUUUUGUUUUAAAUUAAACCUGUCUUUGGAGCCUCCUG